rnacentral:rRNA from 1 species
AUGACAGGUCUUGAAAGAUGGAACCAAUUAGUAGAAAUGGUUAGAAAAACUCAGUUACGGGAUGAGAAUGACACCCCCAUUUGGUCUUUGGAGACUAACGGGGUGUACUCAGUCAAGUCUCUUUAUAAGCAGAUCAAUUUUGGGGGGAUAAUUUCGGCUGUAGAUGACAAACUAUGGAAAGUUCCAUGCCCUCAAAAAAUCCAUGUCUUUCUUUGGCUGGGGGUUUACAACAAGAUUCUUACUCGUGAUAAUUUAGCCAAAAGGAGACAUGUUGAUGACAUGACUUGCCUUUUUUGCAAUGAGAAUGAAACGGUGCAACAUUUGCUGUUUGAUUGUAUUGUUGCAAAAAUAGUUUGGGAAGUUGUCUCUGUCUGUUUUGAAUGCCCUUUCUUUACCAGUUUUUGUGAUGUUAUUGCUUUGUGGCAAAAAUGUAAAAAGAAGCCUGUGCUGAACUUGGUAGUGGCUGCAUCCUUAUGGAGCCUUUGGAAACUAAGAAAUGAAUUCUGCUUGCAGGGCCGCACUUGGAGAAAUGCUGCAUGUGUUCUUGUGAAACUAAGGUCUCAUCUACAGCAAUGGAAAGUGCUCUGCCACGACACUCAAGCUGUGUUGCUACAAAGAUGUAUUCUUCUGCUGGACAAAAAGCGCAGGGAGCUGAUGUGGAUUGCCUGGAGAUGA